rnacentral:rRNA from 1 species
AUUGAACGCUGGCGGCAUGCCUUACACAUGCAAGUCGAACGGUAACGGGCCUUCGGGUGCCGACGAGUGGCGAACGGGUGAGUAAUACAUCGGAACGUGCCCGAUCGUGGGGGAUAACGAGGCGAAAGCUUUGCUAAUACCGCAUACGAUCUACGGAUGAAAGCAGGGGACCGCAAGGCCUUGCGCGGACGGAGCGGCCGAUGGCAGAUUAGGUAUUUGGUGGGAUAAAAGCUUACCAAGCCGACGAUCUGUAGCUGGUCUGAGAGGAUGAUCAGCCACACUGGGACUGAGACACGGCCCAGACUCCUACGGGAGGCAGCAGUGGGGAAUUUUGGACAAUGGGCGCAAGCCUGAUCCAGCCAUGCCGCGUGCAGGAUGAAGGCCUUCGGGUUGUAAACUGCUUUUGUACGGAACGAAAAGCCUUCUUUUAAUACAGGAGGGUCAUGACGGUACCGUAAGAAUAAGCACCGGCUAACUACGUG